UACGAAGGGGGCUAGCGUUGCUCGGAAUCACUGGGCGUAAAGGGUGCGUAGGCGGGUCUUUAAGUCAGGGGUGAAAUCCUGGAGCUCAACUCCAGAACUGCCUUUGAUACUGAAGAUCUUGAGUUCGGGAGAGGUGAGUGGAACUGCGAGUGUAGAGGUGAAAUUCGUAGAUAUUCGCAAGAACACCAGUGGCGAAGGCGGCCCCCUGGGCAGUAACUGACGCUGAGGAGCGAAAGCGUGGGGAGCGAACAGG
rnacentral:rRNA from 1 species